rnacentral:sRNA from 1 species
UCUGGUCCCCAUGCUACAGCAGCAUCUGCCCCACUGUUAGUAUUUGUUGAGUGAAUAAUGAGUUAGUCCAGGAAUGGGAGCAACCAAGCCGUUCCGACCUCCAGCUGUACCCUCCCCUUUCCAGUGGGAAUCCACACACACAGGGUCUCUUCUCAGGAAGCUUAAAGCGCUUUCACAUUGCUGUGGACUUCUUUGUAGUGAGAAUCUCUAGGCAGAGUGUGUGGGCAGGGUGGGAACGCCAUUUCUUGGCUUUGCAGCCUCUGACUUGUGCUGAUUGCUAAUGAACUUCGCUAGGGCUACCUCAUCACCAACAGGGAGAUUGUUUCAGAAGAUAUUGAAGAUUUUGAGUUCACCCCCAAGCCAGAAUAUGAAGGGCCCUUUUGUGUCUUCAAUGAACCCGAUGAGGUAAGGAGGUAUCACUUGGGAAACUACCCGGUAUUGUGGGAAGAACAGACAUGUGGAUCUUUCCAAGGCCUCAGGCAUUCCGUCAGAUCAGAAUUGCAGCUCCAUGAGCUUUGUUCUCAGGGUGUGACCAUCUUUUCUGACAGAGACGGGCGGGGGGGUGCGGGGCAGGAAUAAGGGCCAACAUGAGGCUGCUGCUUCUGAACUUUGGGAGAGGAAUUUGGAAAUAGCUUGAAGAAGAGAAAGAGCAGACCUCUGACCGCUGUGACUUGGGUUCAGGCUCAUCUGAUCCAAAGGUGGUUUGAACACGUCCAGGAGACCAAACCCACCAUCAUGGUCACCUACAACGGGGACUUUUUUGACUGGUGAGUCUGUGUCUUCUCUAUGAGUAACUGGGCAGCAUUUGAGAGGGAGGGCGUUGCGUGGUGCAGGGGCGCUUCCCAUGUCGACUUAGGAGGUGGCUCCUGGGUUCACUCUGCACCUCCCGUGUCUGGGUUCCUCCCUGGGUCUGAGGGAGGAAUGGAGAAAGGGGAAUUAGAGCCUGACCUGCCCACUUGCUUGUCUGUCCUCUUUCCAACCCAGGCCAUUUGUGGAGGCCCGGGCAGCAGUCCACGGUCUGAGCAUGCAGCAGGAGAUAGGCUUCCAGAAGGACAGCCAGGGGGAGUACAAGGCGCCCCAGUGCAUCCACAUGGACUGCCUCAGGUGGGUGAAGAGGGACAGUUACCUUCCUGUGGGCAGUCAUAAUCUCAAGGCGGCCGCCAAGGCCAAGCUAGGCUAUGAUCCCGUGGAGCUAGACCCGGAGGACAUGUGCCGGAUGGCCACGGAGCAGCCCCAGACUCUGGCCACGUAUUCUGUGUCAGAUGCUGUCGCCACUUACUACCUGUACAUGAAGUACGUCCACCCAUUCAUCUUUGCUCUGUGCACCAUUAUUCCCAUGGAGCCCGACGAGGUGCUGCGGAAGGGCUCUGGCACGCUAUGUGAGGCCUUGCUGAUGGUGCAGGCCUUCCACGCCAACAUCAUCUUCCCCAACAAGCAAGAGCAGGAGUUCAAUAAGCUGACGGACGACGGACACGUGCUGGACUCUGAGACCUACGUCGGGGGCCACGUGGAGGCCCUCGAGUCUGGGGUUUUCCGCAGCGAUAUCCCUUGCCGGUUUAGGAUG